GCCCAGGUGGCGAAACUGGCAGACGCACUACCUUGAGGUGGUAGCGCCCGAAAGGGUGUACGAGUUCAAAUCUCGUCUUGGGCA
rnacentral:tRNA from 1 species